rnacentral:rRNA from 1 species
CACACCGCCCGUCACACCAUGGGAGUUGGCUUUACCCGAAGGUGGUGCGCUAACCAGCAAUGGAGGCAGCCAACCACGGUAGGGUCAGCGACUGGGGUG